rnacentral:rRNA from 1 species
AACGAACGCUGGCGGCAUGCCUAACACAUGCAAGUCGAACGAGACGUUCGGGUCUAGUGGCGCACGGGUGCGUAACGCGUGGGAAGCUGCCCUUAGGUUCGGCAUAACUCCCCGAAAGGGGUACUAAUACCGGAUAGUGUCUUCGGCCCAAAGAUUUAUCGCCUUUGGAUGGGCCCGAGUUGGAUUAGCUAGUUGGUAGGGUAAAAGCCUUGCAAGGCGUCGAUCAGUAACUGGUCUGAGAGGGUGAUCAGCCACGCUGGGACUGAGAGACGGCCCGGCCCCCUGAGAGAGGCAGCCGUCGCGAAUCUUCCGGGAUGGGCGAAGGGGUGACGAAGCAACGACGCGUGAAUGAUGAAGGUCGUCGGACCGUGAAACUCUGUUAGUAGUGAGGGUUAAAAAUGUAUUUUACUAUGCACGUCUUGACGGUACCUAGUCAAAAAACCACGGCUAACUACGUG